rnacentral:rRNA from 1 species
UACGUAGGGUGCGAGCGUUAAUCGGAAUUACUGGGCGUAAAGCGUGCGCAGGCGGUUUUGUAAGCCAGAUGUGAAAUCCCCGGGCUUAACCUGGGAAUGGCAUUUGGGACUGCAAGGCUCGAGUGCGGCAGAGGAGACUGGAAUUUACGGUGUGGCGGUGAAAUGCGUAGAUAUCGUAAGGAAGACCAGUGGCGAAGGCGGGUCUCUGGACAGUUCCUGACGCUGAGGCACGAAGGUCAGGGGAGCAAACGGG